rnacentral:rRNA from 1 species
UACGUAGGGGGCAAGCGUUGUCCGGAUUUACUGGGCGUAAAGAGCGUGUAGGCGGCCAAGCAGGUCCGUUGUGAAAACUGGAGGCUUAACCUCCAGACGUCGACGGAAACCGCGUGGCUAGAGUCCGGAAGAGGAGAGUGGAAUUCCUGGUGUAGCGGUGAAAUGCGCAGAUAUCAGGAAGAACACCAAUGGCGAAGGCAGCUCUCUGGGACGGUACUGACGCUGAGACGCGAAAGCGUUGGGGAGCGAACAGG